GGAUAGCUCAGUCGGUAGAGCAUGAGACUCUUAAACUCAGGGUUGUGGGUUCAAGAUCCACGCUGGGCA
rnacentral:tRNA from 1 species